UACGUAGGGGGCAAGCGUUGUCCGGAUUUAUUGGGCGUAAAGAGCGUGUAGGCGGCCAGGUAGGUCAGCUGUGAAAACUCGAGGCUCAACCUCGAGACGUCGGUUGAAACCACCUGGCUAGAGUCCGGAAGAGGAGAGUGGAAUUCCUGGUGUAGCGGUGAAAUGCGUAGAUAUCCGGAGGAACACCGGUGGCGAAGGCGGCUUCCUGGACCGACACUGACGCUGAGGCGCGAAAGCUAGGGGAGCAAACGGG
rnacentral:rRNA from 1 species